CACGUAGGGCGCAAGCGUUGUCCGGAAUUAUUGGGCGUAAAGAGCUCGUAGGCGGUCUGUUGCGUCUGCUGUGAAAACCCGGGGCUUAACCCCUGGCUUGCAGUGGAUACGGACAGACUAGAGGUAGGUAGGGGAGAAUGGAAUUCCCGGUGUAGCGGUGAAAUGCGUAGAUAUCGUAAGGAAGACCAGUGGCGAAGGCGGGUCUCUGGACAGUUCCUGACGCUGAGGCACGAAGGUCAGGGGAGCAAACGGG
rnacentral:rRNA from 1 species